GAGGAAUAUUGGUCAAUGGGGGCAACCCUGAACCAGCCAAGUCGCGUGAAGGAUGAAGGUCUUAUGGAUUGUAAACUUCUUUUACACGGGAAUAAAGCGGGGGACGUGUCCCCCUUUGCAUGUACCGUGUGAAUAAGGAUCGGCUAACUCCGUGCCAGCAGCCGCGGUAAUACGGAGGAUCCGAGCGUUAUCCGGAUUUAUUGGGUGUAAAGGGUGCGCAGGCGGGAUGUUAAGUCGGCGGUGAAAUUUUGCAGCUCAACUGUAAAAGUGCCUUCGAUACUGGCCUCCUUGAGUGUGGAUGAAGUAGGCGGAAUUUGUGGUGUAGCGGUGAAAUGCUUAGAUAUCACGAGGAACUCCGAUUGCGCAGGCAGCUUACUAAGCCACAACUGACGCUCAUGCACGAAGGCGUGGGGAUCAAACA
rnacentral:rRNA from 1 species